rnacentral:tRNA from 1 species
UGUUCUGUGGCUUAGUUGGUUAAAGCGCUAGUCUAGCGACUUCGGAGUCGUGGGUUCGCAUCCCACCAGGACGC